GUCGAGCGUCUCUAGCUAUGUUGAGACGCGGCAGACGGCUCAGUAACACGUGGCUAACCUACCCUCAGGACGAGGAUAAACCCGGGAAACUGGGGCUAAUACUCGAUAGGUGAGAAUGUCUGGAAUGAUUUCUCAUUCAAAGGGCUUUAGAAACAUGCUUCUAAAGUCGCCUGGGGAUGGGGCCGCGUCCGAUCAGGUUGUUGGUGAGGUAACGGCUCACCAAGCCUAUAACCGGUACGGGCCGUGAGAGCGGUAGCCCGGAGAUGGGUACUGAGACAAGGACCCAGGCCCUACGGGGCGCAGCAGUCGCGAAAACUCCGCAAUGCACGAAAGUGUGACGGGGCUACCCCGAGUGCCAUCCGCUGAGGAUGGCUUUUCUUUGGUGUAACUAGCGGGGGGAAUAAGGAGAGGGCAAGACUGGUGUCAGCCGCCGCGGUAAUACCAGCUCUCCGAGUGGUAGGGAUGAUUAUUGGGCUUAAAGCGUCCGUAGCCGGCUUAGCAAGUCUCCUGUUAAAUUCAGCGACCUAAUCGUUGAGCCGCGGGAGAUACUACUAGGCUAGGAGGCGGGAGAGGUCGACGGUACUUCUGGGGUAGGGGUGAAAUCCUAUAAUCCCGGGAGGACCACCAGUGGCGAAGGCUGUUGACUAGAACGCGCUCGACGGUGAGGGACGAAAGCUGGGGGAGCGAACCGGAUUAGAUACCCGGGUAGUCCCAGCCGUAAACGAUGCGGGCUAGGU
rnacentral:rRNA from 1 species